AACCUCACUUGUGGGGGGAUUAGUGGCGAACGGGUGAGUAACACGUGAGUAACCUGCCCUUGACUCUGGGAUAAGCCUGGGAAACCGGGUCUAAUACUGGAUACGACCUUCUGGCGCAUGCCAUGUUGGUGGAAAGCUUUUGUGGUUUUGGAUGGACUCGCGGCCUAUCAGCUUGUUGGUGGGGUAAUGGCCUACCAAGGCGACGACGGGUAGCCGGCCUGAGAGGGUGACCGGCCACACUGGGACUGAGACACGGCCCAGACUCCUACGGGAGGCAGCAGUGGGGAAUAUUGCACAAUGGGCGCAAGCCUGAUGCAGCGACGCCGCGUGAGGGAUGAAGGCCUUCGGGUUGUAAACCUCUUUCAGUAGGGAAGAAGCCGCUCUUUCGGGGGUGGUGACGGUACCUGCAGAAGAAGCGCCGGCUAACUACGUGCCAGCAGCCGCGGUAAUACGUAGGGCGCAAGCGUUAUCCGGAAUUAUUGGGCGUAAAGAGCUCGUAGGCGGUUUGUCGCGUCUGCCGUGAAAGUCCGGGGCUUAACUCCGGAUCUGCGGUGGGUACGGGCAGACUAGAGUGCAGUAGGGGAGACUGGAAUUCCUGGUGUAGCGGUGAAAUGCGCAGAUAUCAGGAGGAACACCGAUGGCGAAGGCAGGUCUCUGGGCUGUAACUGACGCUGAGGAGCGAAAGCAUGGGGAGCGAACAGGAUUAGAUACCCUGGUAGUCCAUGCCGUAAACGUUGGGCACUAGGUGU
rnacentral:rRNA from 1 species